rnacentral:rRNA from 1 species
AAAGAUUAAGCCAUGCAUGUCUAAGUAUAAGCAAUUAUACCGCGAAACUGCGAAUGGCUCAUUAAAUCAGUUAUCGUUUAUUUGAUAGUACCUUACUACUUGGAUAACCGUGGUAAUUCUAGAGCUAAUACAUGCUAAAAAUCCCGACUUCGGAAGGGAUGUAUUUAUUAGAUUAAAAACCAAUGCCCUUUGGGCUCACUGGUGAUUCAUGAUAACUUCUCGAAUCGCAUGGCCUUGCGCCGGCGAUGGUUCAUUCAAAUUUCUGCCCUAUCAACUUUCGACGGCUGGGUCUUGGCCAGCCAUGGUGACAACGGGUAACGGAGGGUUAGGGCUCGACCCCGGAGAAGGAGCCUGAGAAACGGCUACUACAUCCAAGGAAGGCAGCAGGCGCGCAAAUUACCCAAUCCCGACACGGGGAGGUAGUGACAAUACAUACUGAUACAGGGCUCUUUUGGGUCUUGUAAUUGGAAUGAGUACAAUUUAAAUCCCUUAACGAGGAACAAUUGGAGGGCAAGUCUGGUGCCAGCAGCCGCGGUAAUUCCAGCUCCAAUAGCGUAUAUUAAAGUUGUUGCGGUUAAAAAGCUCGUAGUUGAACCUUGGGCCUGGCUGGCCGGUCCGCCUCACCGCGUGCACUGGUACGGUCGGGCCUUUCCCUCUGGGGAACCGCAUGCCCUUCACUGGGUGUGUCGGGGAACCAGGACUUUUACUUUGAAAAAAUUAGAGUGUUCAAAGCAGGCUUAUGCUCGGAUACAUUAGCAUGAAAUAAUAGAAUAGGACGUGCGGUUCUAUUUUGUUGGUUUCUAGGACCGCCGUAAUGAUUAAUAGGGACAGUCGGGGGCAUCAGU